GACGAACGCUGGCGGCGUGCUUAACACAUGCAAGUCGAACGGAAAGGCCCCUUUGGGGGUCCUCGAGUGGCGAACGGGUGAGUAACACGUGAGUAACCUGCCCUUGACUUCGGGAUAACUUCAGGAAACUGGGGCUAAUACCGGAUAGGAAUCCUUGCUGCAUGGUGGGGGUUGGAAAGCUUCGGCGGUUUUGGAUGGACUCGCGGCGUAUCAGCUUGUUGGUGGGGUAGUGGCUUACCAAGGCUUUGUCGGGUAGCCGGCCUGGGAGGGCGACCGGCCACAUUGGGACUGAGAUACGGCCCAGACUCCUACGGGAGGCAGCAGUGGGGAAUAUUGCACAAUGGGCGGAAGCCUGAUGCAGCAACGCCGCGUGCGGGAGGACGGCCUUCGGGUUGUAAACCGCUUUCAGCAGGGGCGAAGCUUGUGGUGACGGUACCUGCAGAAGAAGCACCGGCUAACUACGUG
rnacentral:rRNA from 1 species